UCCUACGGGGGGCAGCAGUGAGGAAUAUUGGUCAAUGGCCGAGAGGCUGAACCAGCCAAGUCGCGUGAGGGAAGACGGCCCUACGGGUUGUAAACCUCUUUUGUCGGGGAGCAAAGCGAGUCACGUGUGACUCAUUGAGAGUACCCGAAGAAAAAGCAUCGGCUAACUCCGUGCCAGCAGCCGCGGUAAUACGUAGGGGGCAAGCGUUAUCCGGAUUUACUGGGUGUAAAGGGAGCGUAGACGGCUGUGCAAGUCUGAAGUGAAAGCCCAGGGCUCAACCCUGGGACUGCUUUGGAAACUGUGGG
rnacentral:rRNA from 1 species